rnacentral:rRNA from 1 species
ACGAACGCUGGCGGCAUGCCUAAUACAUGCAAGUCGAACGGCUCUUCGGAGCAGUGGCGGACGGGUGAGUAACGCGUGGGAAUGUGCCCUUAGGUACGGAACAACACAGGGAAACUUGUGCUAAUACCGUAUGUGCCCUUCGGGGAAAGAUUUAUCGCCUUUGGAGCAGCCCGCGUUGGAUUAGGUAGUUGGUGAGGUAAAGGCUCACCAAGCCGACGAUCCAUAGCUGGUCUGAGAGGAUGACCAGCCACACUGGGACUGAGGCACGGCCCAGACUCCUACGGGAGGCAGCAGUAGGGAAUCUUGCGCAAUGGGCGAAAGCCUGACGCAGCCAUGCCGCGUGUAUGAUGAAGGUCUUAGGAUUGUAAAAUACUUUCACCGGGGAAGAUAAUGACGGUACCCGGAGAAGAAGCCCCGGCUAACUUCGUGCCAGCCGCCGCAGUAAAAC